rnacentral:rRNA from 1 species
UACGUAGGGGGCAAGCGUUGUCCGGAUUUAUUGGGCGUAAAGAGCGUGUAGGCGGCCAGACAGGUCCGUUGUGAAAACUCGAGGCUCAACCUCGAGACGCCGAUGGAAACCGUUUGGCUAGAGUCCGGAAGAGGAGAGUGGAAUUCCUGGUGUAGCGGUGAAAUGCGCAGAUAUCAGGAGGAACACCGAUUGCGAAGGCAGCUCGCUGGGACGUUACUGACGCUGAGACGCGAAAGCGUGGGGAGCAAACAGG